UUGUGGAACGAAGCUUUCUUUCACCGAAUGCUUGCAUUCACCGAAAGAAGCUUAGUGGCGAACGGGUGAGUAACACGUAGGCAACCUGCCCAAAAGAGGGGGACAACACUUGGAAACAGGUGCUAAUACCGCAUAACCAUGAACACCGCAUGAUGUUCAUGUAAAAGACGGCUUUUGCUGUCACUUUUGGAUGGGCCUGCGGCGUAUUAACUUGUUGGUGGGGUAACGGCCUACCAAGGUGAUGAUACGUAGCCGAACUGAGAGGUUGAUCGGCCACAUUGGGACUGAGACACGGCCCAAACUCCUACGGGAGGCAGCAGUAGGGAAUCUUCCACAAUGGACGAAAGUCUGAUGGAGCAACGCCGCGUGAAUGAAGAAGGCCUUCGGGUCGUAAAAUUCUGUUGUCAGAGAAGAACGUGCGUGAGAGUAACUGUUCACGUAUUGACGGUAUCUGACCAGAAAGCCACGGCUAACUACGUGCCAGCAGCCGCGGUAAUACGUAGGUGGCGAGCGUUGUCCGGAUUUAUUGGGCGUAAAGGGAACGCAGGCGGUCUUUUAAGUCUGAUGUGAAAGCCUUCGGCUUAACCGAAGUAGUGCAUUGGAAACUGGAAGACUUGAGUGCAGAAGAGGAGAGUGGAACUCCAUGUGUAGCGGUGAAAUGCGUAGAUAUAUGGAAGAACACCAGUGGCGAAAGCGGCUCUCUGGUCUGUAACUGACGCUGAGGUUCGAAAGCGUGGGUAGCAAACAGGAUUAGAUACCCUGGUAGUCCACGCCGUAAACGAUGAGUGCUAAGUGUUGGAGGGUUUCCGC
rnacentral:rRNA from 1 species